rnacentral:rRNA from 1 species
AUUGAACGCUGGCGGCAGGCCUAACACAUGCAAGUCGAGCGAGCGGCGGACGGGUGAGUAAUGUCUGGGAAACUGCCCGAUGGAGGGGGAUAACUACUGGAAACGGUAGAUAAUACCGCAUACCAUCAGAUGUGCCCAGAUGGGAUUAGCUAGUAGGUGGGGUAACGGCUCACCUAGGCGACGAUCCCUAGCUGGUCUGAGAGGAUGACCAGCCACCCUGGGACUGAGACACGGUCCAGACUCCUACGGGAGGCAGCAGUGGGGAAUAUUGCACAAUGGGCGCAAGCCUGCUGCAGCCAUGCCGCGUGUAUGAUGAAGGCCUUCGGGUUGUAAAGUACUUUCAGCGUGGAGGCGUUACCCGCAGAAGAAGCACCGGCUAACUCCGUGCCAGCAGCCGCGGUAAUAC